rnacentral:rRNA from 1 species
GAUGAACGCUGGCGGCGUGCCUAAUACAUGCAAGUCGAGCGAACAGACGAGGAGCUUGCUCCUCUGACGUUAGCGGCGGACGGGUGAGUAACACGUGGAUAACCUACCUAUAAGACUGGGAUAACUUCGGGAGACCGGAGCUAAUACCGGAUAAUAUAUUGAACCGCAUGGUUCAAUAGUGAAAGACGGUUUUGCUGUCACUUAUAGAUGGAUCCGCGCCGCAUUGGUUAGUUGGGAAGGUAACGGCUUACAAAGGCAACGAUGCGUAUCCGACCUGAAGGGUGGAUCGGCCACAUUGGAACUGGGAACCGGCCCAGACUCCUACGGGAGGCAGCAGUAGGGAAUCUUCCGCAAUGGGCGAAAUCCUGACGGAGCAACGCCGCGUGAGUGAUGAAGGUCUCCGGAUCGUAAAACUCUGUUAUUAGGGAAGAACAAAUGUGUAAGUAACUAUGCACGUCUUGACGGUACCUAAUCAGAAAGCCACGGCUAACUACGUG